rnacentral:rRNA from 1 species
GACGAACGCUGGCGGCGUGCUUAACACAUGCAAGUCGAACGAAGUGGCGAACGGGUGAGUAACGCGUAAUCAACCUGCCCUUCAGAGGGGGAAAACAGUUGGAAACGACUGCUAAUACCGCAUACUGAAGGAGGGGAUUGCGUCUGAUUAGCUAGUUGGGGGGGUAACGGCCCACCAAGGCGAUGAUCAGUAGGCGGUCUGGAAGGAUGAACGGCCACAUAGGGACUGAGACACGGCCCAGGCUCCUACGGGAGGCAGCAGUGGGGAAUCUUCCGCAAUGGACGGAAGUCUGACGGAGCAACGCCGCGUGGUUGAUGACGGCCUUCGGGUUGUAAAGCUCUGUUAAUCGGGACGCGGUACCGGAAUAGAAAGCCACGGCUAACUACGUGCCAGCAGCCGCGGUAAUUC